rnacentral:rRNA from 1 species
CCAGCAGCCGCGGUAAUACGUAGGGUGCAAGCGUUGUCCGGAAUUAUUGGGCGUAAAGAGCUCGUAGGCGGUUUGUCGCGUCUGCUGUGAAAUCCCGAGGCUCAACCUCGGGCUUGCAGUGGGUACGGGCAGACUAGAGUGCGGUAGGGGAGAUUGGAAUUCCUGGUGUAGCGGUGGAAUGCGCAGAUAUCAGGAGGAACACCGAUGGCGAAGGCAGAUCUCUGGGCCGUAACUGACGCUGAGGAGCGAAAGCGUGGGGAGCGAACAGGAUUAGAUACCCUGGUAGUCCACGCCGUAAACGUUGGGCGCUAGAUGUAGGGACCUUUCCACGGUUUCUGUGUCGUAGCUAACGCAUUAAGCGCCCCGUCUGGGGAGUACGGCCGCAAGGCUAAAACUCAAAGGAAUUGACGGGGGCCCGCACAAGCGGCGGAGCAUGCGGAUUAAUUCGAUGCAACGCGAAGAACCUUACCAAGGCUUGACAUACACCGGAAACGGCCAGAGAUGGUCGCCCCCUUGUGGUCGGUGUACAGGUGGUGCAUGGUUGUCGUCAGCUCGUGUCGUGAGAUGUUGGGUUAAGUCCCGCAACGAGCGCAACCCUCGUUCUAUGUUGCCAGCGCGUUAUGGCGGGGACUCAUAGGAGACUGCCGGGGUCAACUCGGAGGAAGGUGGGGAUGACGUCAAAUCAUCAUGCCCCUUAUGUCUUGGGCUUCACGCAUGCUACAAUGGCCGGUACAAAGGGCUGCGAUACCGUAAGGUGGAGCGAAUCCCAAAAAGCCGGUCUCAGUUCGGAUUGAGGUCUGCAACUCGACCUCAUGAAGUCGGAGUCGCUAGUAAUCGCAGAUCAGCAACGCUGCGGUGAAUACGUUCCCGGGCCUUGUACACACCGCCCGUCAAGUCAUGAAAGUCGGUAACACCCGAAGCCGGUGGCCUAACCCUUGUGGAAGGAGCCGUCGAAGGUGGGAUCGGUGAUUAGGACGAAGUCGUAACAAGGUAGCC